rnacentral:pre_miRNA from 1 species
ACUUGUCUCACUACGCUAUGAUCCUAUCACUUGUCUCACUACGCUGCAUAGCGUAGUGAGAAAGUGAUGGGAUCAUAGCGUAGUGAGAAAGUGAU